rnacentral:sRNA from 1 species
ACCCUAUUUAUUCACCCGACAUGUUCAUUUCCUCAACUUCUCAAGGUUUGGAGGAGACCAGCCUGUCUACAUCAACAUCAUUAGAGACCCCGUCAACCGGUUCUUAUCCAACUAUUUUUUCCGUCGCUUUGGAGACUGGAGAGGGGAACAAAAUCACAUGAUCCGCACCCCCAGCAUGAGGCAGGAGGAGCGCUACCUGGAUUAGCCAUAGAAUUGGAGAGGGUUGAGCGGCCCUGGCUGUAGAGGAAAGAAGACUCCAGAAGCUGGAGAAGAAUUCAGGAUCUGACAGGAAGUUCAAGGUGACCUCUGGGAGCCUUCUGAGAAGAAAAAGGGCAUGCAACCUCAGCAGUGUCUCUCUGCCUCUCACCAAAUUGACAGUGGGCCCGAACUUUGCUCAUUUAAUGAGAUAGAAUUAGUAAAGUCUCCAGUGUACUUUUCAUUCCUUCCACAAGCUUUUACUGAAUAAAAUGAUUGGUACUCAAUAA